GCAUUAAUGGGGUAGUGGUAACCUGGGUCGUUGCCACUGAUGCUCGUCAUCGAGCCUCGACCCGCCGGGGGUUCAAUUCCCCCUUAAUGCA